AGAAUUUGAUCCUGGCUCAGGAUGAACGCUAGCGGCAGGCUUAACACAUGCAAGUCGAGGGGCAGCGGGGUGUAGCAACACACUGCCGGCGACCGGCGCACGGGUGCGUAACGCGUAUGCAACCUACACAUAACAGGGGCAUAACACUGAGAAAUUGGUACUAAUUCCCCAUAACAUUCGAAGAGGCAUCUCUUUGGGUUGAAAACUCCGGUGGUUAUGGAUGGGCAUGCGUUGUAUUAGCUAGUU
rnacentral:rRNA from 1 species